GGCGGACGGGUGAGUAAUGCUUAGGAAUCUGCCUAUUAGUGGGGGACAACAUCUCGAAAGGGAUGCUAAUACCGCAUACGUCCUACGGGAGAAAGCAGGGGAUCUUCGGACCUUGCGCUAAUAGAUGAGCCUAAGUCGGAUUAGCUAGUUGGUGGGGUAAAGGCCUACCAAGGCGACGAUCUGUAGCGGGUCUGAGAGGAUGAUCCGCCACACUGGGACUGAGACACGGCCCAGACUCCUACGGGAGGCAGCAGUGGGGAAUAUUGGACAAUGGGGGGAACCCUGAUCCAGCCAUGCCGCGUGUGUGAAGAAGGCCUUAUGGUUGUAAAGCACUUUAAGCGAGGAGGAGGCUACUUUAGUUAAUACCUAGAGAUAGUGGACGUUACUCGCAGAAUAAGCACCGGCUAACUCUGUGCCAGCAGCCGCGGUAAUACAGAGGGUGCGAGCGUUAAUCGGAUUUACUGGGCGUAAAGCGUGCGUAGGCGGCUUAUUAAGUCGGAUGUGAAAUCCCCGAGCUUAACUUGGGAAUUGCAUUCGAUACUGGUGAGCUAGAGUAUGGGAGAGGAUGGUAGAAUUCCAGGUGUAGCGGUGAAAUGCGUAGAGAUCUGGAGGAAUACCGAUGGCGAAGGCAGCCAUCUGGCCUAAUACUGACGCUGAGGUACGAAAGCAUGGGGAGCAAACAGGAUUAGAUACCCUGGUAGUCCAUGCCGUAAACGAUGUCUACUAGCCGUUGGGGCCUUUGAGGCUUUAGUGGCGCAGCUAACGCGAUAAGUAGACCGCCUGGGGAGUACGGUCGCAAGACUAAAACUCAAAUGAAUUGACGGGGGCCCGCACAAGCGGUGGAGCAUGUGGUUUAAUUCGAUGCAACGCGAAGAACCUUACCUGGCCUUGACAUACUAGAAACUUUCCAGAGAUGGAUUGGUGCCUUCGGGAAUCUAGAUACAGGUGCUGCAUGGCUGUCGUCAGCUCGUGUCGUGAGAUGUUGGGUUAAGUCCCGCAACGAGCGCAACCCUUUUCCUUACUUGCCAGCAUUUCGGAUGGGAACUUUAAGGAUACUGCCAGUGACAAACUGGAGGAAGGCGGGGACGACGUCAAGUCAUCAUGGCCCUUACGGCCAGGGCUACACACGUGCUACAAUGGUCGGUACAAAGGGUUGCUACACAGCGAUGUGAUGCUAAUCUCAAAAAGCCGAUCGUAGUCCGGAUUGGAGUCUGCAACUCGACUCCAUGAAGUCGGAAUCGCUAGUAAUCG
rnacentral:rRNA from 1 species